GACGAACGCUGGCGGCGUGCUUAACACAUGCAAGUCGAACGGUGAAGCUCCAGCUUGCUGGAGUGGAUCAGUGGCGAACGGGUGAGUAACACGUGAGCAACCUGCCCCUGACUCUGGAAUAAGCGCUGGAAACGGCGUCUAAUACUGGAUAUGAGAAGGGUCCGCAUGGACACUUUCUGGAAAGUUUUUCGGUUGGGGAUGGGCUCGCGGCCUAUCAGCUUGUUGGUGAGGUAAUGGCUCACCAAGGCGACGACGGGUAGCCGGCCUGAGAGGGCGACCGGCCACACUGGGCCUGAGACACGGCCCAGACUCCUACGGGAGGCAGCAGUGGGGAAUAUUGCACAAUGGGCGAAAGCCUGAUGCAGCGACGCCGCGUGAGGGAUGACGGCCUUCGGGUUGUAAACCUCUUUCAGCAGGGAAGAAGCGAAAGUGACGGUACCUGCAGAAGAAGCACCGGCUAACUACGUG
rnacentral:rRNA from 1 species